rnacentral:tRNA from 1 species
GGGGCCGUGGCCUAGUCAGGAGGGGCGACGGGCUCCAGCGGUAUGAUGAGCAACGGGUCUACUGACCCUGACCUGACGAGGUCAGGAAUGAUGAUCCGUUGGAGCACUGACCUGAAGAGACCCGUCAAUCGAGGGUUCAAAUCCCUUCGGCCCCA